rnacentral:rRNA from 1 species
UGGGGAAUAUUGCACAAUGGGCGCAAGCCUGAUGCAGCAACGCCGCGUGAGGGACGACGGCCUUCGGGUUGUAAACCUCUUUUAGCAAGGAAGAAGCGAAAGUGACGGUACUUGCAGAAAAAGCGCCGGCUAACUACGUGCCAGCAGCCGCGGUAAUACGUAGGGCGCAAGCGUUAUCCGGAAUUAUUGGGCGUAAAGAGCUCGUAGGCGGUUUGUCGCGUCUGCUGUGAAAACCCGAGGCUCAACCUCGGGCCUGCAGUGGGUACGGGCAGACUAGAGUGCGGUAGGGGAGAUUGGAAUUCCUGGUGUAGCGGUGGAAUGCGCAGAUAUCAGGAGGAACACCGAUGGCGAAGGCAGAUCUCUGGGCCGUAACUGACGCUGAGGAGCGAAAGGGUGGGGAGCAAACAG